ACAUGGCUUUUCUUUUGCGGGUUAGGCACUUAGACUACUAUUAGGCAUUCUUCUUUCUUGAAAUAUAUAAAACCGGUAAAGUUCACUAUGCCGAUAAACAAAUCAAUUUAAAUAGGGGUCAAAAGCGCGCCUGACGGAUUAUUCGUUCCCAGGCGCAUCUUGGUUAAAUAGUUCACGAGCAAGACAUAUGGUCCUCUGUUGGGACAAAUAGAAACGAGCAACGUGGUUUUUAGUGGGCAUGUUUCUUGGUCCGGCAAAUCUUGGCAUGCAUACUUAAUGCCCAAUCAAUGAUUUGUUGCUUAAUUUUAUCCAGAUAAGGGCCUACAUUAUGGGAACUAUAUCGUUUGAUGACUUGAUCAUGAAACCUGCAAAUUCAGCUUUGUUCACCAACUGCUGAAGUAGGUGAAAAAUAACUUGUAUUGGUUGUGUUUUGUAUUAGCUUCUCUAGAUAAUAACAAUGGACCAAUAACAUCAAGGACCAGAGAAAAUAGAAAAUCUAUCCGUGUCAAUGAUAACCGCUAUUGAAACAACAUUGGUUUUGUUUACUCAUGUUAAAGAGUGAAUGAUCGGAAUUGCAACCCACAUCUACUUUACAAAUUGCAUAUACAUCAGCUGCUCAUAUUUUGUAUUAUCUGAAAAACAUAAAAUCAAUGUUUUGUAGGAUUUCCUUUAUCCUAUAUCAAAAAUUAGAUAAUCUGAACCUAACACAAUAGGUCUUUCAUGUAAUGAUUGUGUUGUUACUAAACCUCCGACAUCGAAGAUCUUGACCAACCUCAGCUUGAAGGAUAAGAAAGAAGUAUAUUAACUAUCUUGAUCUGUCUGAACCACAAAUUAUUAUAGUGUACGUGAAACUAGUUUUCUGUAUCAGCUGAAAUUGGCUGGAACUUCGAGAAAUGACAAUAGUUUACUAUAAAUCUGUGGAUCACUUGGUCUUCUCCGAUAGAUUGGGAAGUAUAACGUGUUCCAAAAUUAGAAAGAUGCUCUAUGUUGUUGUUCCUCUUGCUGGUUCCUGAAAACAAGGUCUAGGUAUUUCAAUAUUUAUUGCUGGAUACUGUCAUGCUUAUUAACUUAGUAGUUUCUAGAGUCUCCUGUUUUCAGGAAGAUGAUUUUGUGGUGGUGGUGUUGCUGAUGAUGGUGACGACCAUGGCUUUGUGUCCCCACUUGUGCCCUUUCGAGUUCAAGAAGAGGCGAUAAUGAUCUCAGCAUCCAUGCAGAAAUUAGUGGUAGUUGUUUUCCUCGCUAUAGGGUUAUGUUAUCAAUUGCCGUUACUACAGUUAUUUUCGAGUUGUAAAACCCGCUGCCUUUUUGGCAUUCACUAACGAAUAUAUGUACCAAAACAUCUAGCAAACAAUUAAAUUUAUUUAUUUUAUUUUCUUCUGCAGUGGUAGUUUUUUGCUCCAUGUAGGGUUAUAUUAUCAAAAGGUCGAUGGUGGACAAAUUUGGCGGUCGAGCUUUGCUGGGACUGUCGUUGUUUACAUUUUCCUUUAUGUUUUUGGUUGUAGUUGCAACUUGCAAGUAAUUCUCCCUGAUUCAAACGAGUUUGAGAUGCCUGUUCUAUAUGCUUUUAUAAGUUUGUUGUGUGGCUUA